CUAUUGGUAUAAGAUAGCAAUCCUAUUUUACCUUCAUAGUGAUUCACUAUGAAGGUACAUUUACCUUUUACAAACUGUAAAAGGUAAAUGUAGUGAAAAUAGUGGGAAUAAGGUUAUUAUCACUCAAACAUAUGAUUUGCUUGUGUAACUCAAUUUUUUUAUUUAUCAUUCAAUUUGCGAAAAUAUCCAAUCAAAAUGGCUUUUAGGAUGACAGUGAAAUAUUUGUUGGCUAUACGCUUGUCAGUACCACAAUUCCCAUCUAUAAAUUGGAUCCAUCGAAAAAAACUUAUACUUUCACGGAUGGAAUCACAAGAGUUUACAUGAACUUUGUACAAACUUGAUUUGAAGAUGGACUUCAUGAUAUUUUUACAAUAAAAGAGUGUCAAUACUUGUCUGGUAAUAAAAAAUUAACCCUCGUCUUCGUAAUACAACGUAAAGACAACCAAUCUUCACAAGAACUCGCCAAAAAUCAUGUUUACGCGUUGAUACAAGAAUUUAUGUAUUAUAUUAUUCUACCCGAAAAAAUCAGUCCACUUCGAAUCGAUACCGUUCAAUAUAAUCUAAAUGAAGCACAAAUUGAAAUAAUAGUGAACAUUCCUGGAUACACCUAAUUUUCAAUAUAUUUUCAACACUAAAACUAUGUCUGUCAAUGCGGAUACAUUUAAAAAGAUGAAACCAAUAAAAGCCAAUCAUGGUUUUGAUUGUGUGCACAAGUUAUCAAAAAUCAAGGAAUAUAUCAGUGUAGUAAUUUAUAGACCAUCAGAUUCUUCCUGUGGAUAUUUGACAAAGUUUGAAGAUCUCGAGGAAGAUACAAAAGCCGGAGAACCAUGCAUCGUCUAUCACUUUCCUUUACAAAAUUUGCAACGCAUUGAUCAAGAAAUACCGCUGGAUCAGAUUCAUAAUACUUAUUUGCAAAACUUAUUAGUAAAAAGUCACGGCUUUUUCAUUGGAUAUUAUCGCAAGUACUUCUCAGCCACAAGCUAUACCGAGCGUACAGGGGCAAUAUUCCUACUUUCAAGUGGAUAACCUACAAGUUAUAGUUACAGCUUCAACGAAUUAUAAUCACGUUCCAUUUGGCAAUGUAAAUGUUUUUUUUAUCGAAAAAAAGUCAUCUGCGUGUGAAAUUUAGAAGUAUGCAA